UAGGGAAUCUUCGGCAAUGGACGAAAGUCUGACCGAGCAACGCCGCGUGCGUGAAGAAGGUUUUCGGAUCGUAAAACUCUGUUGUUAGAGAAGAACAAGGACGUUAGUAACUGAACGUCCCCUGACGGUAUCUAACCAGAAAGCCACGGCUAACUACGUGCCAGCAGCCGCGGUAAUACGUAGGUGGCAAGCGUUGUCCGGAUUUAUUGGGCGUAAAGCGAGCGCAGGCGGUUUCUUAAGUCUGAUGUGAAAGCCCCCGGCUCAACCGGGGAGGGUCAUUGGAAACUGGGAGACUUGAGUGCAGAAGAGGAGAGUGGAAUUCCAUGUGUAGCGGUGAAAUGCGUAGAUAUAUGGAGGAACACCAGUGGCGAAGGCGGCUCUCUGGUCUGUAACUGACGCUGAGGCUCGAAAGCGUGGGGAGCAAACAGG
rnacentral:rRNA from 1 species